GGGUACGAUGUGCCCUUUGUGCACAAUGUAUACACGAUGUGCGCACAUAAUAUUUAGUGUAUUGUGCGAAUACCCAUAUAAAGUUUCGUGGAAUUCUGCUCUACGGUUUUCGAAAAACAUGUCGGAAACCUCGUCGGCCGAAGAAGUGAAAGAAAUAAGAAUAAUUACCAGAAUUCUUUAGCUUCUACCCGCUCCUUCAAUGGUUCUGCAUUGUUAAUGAACCUAUAUAUUUCCAAGCACUCUAUCAUUGUUACGGACAUUGCAAAAGUCUCCAAUCCGCAGCACACGUCGAACAAACCACGGAUAUCAUGACGUCACUUCGUCGUCACCAAUUCAUCACAUAUCACCGACGAUCCUUCAAUACUGUUUGGCAUCAGCGUUCUACAGCGCAUGUUUUGAGAUCAAGAUUUCUUCUGUACAUAAGCUAGUAGCUAUGAAUCGCUAUACUUGGAUUGCGUUAAUUGUUUUACUUUUUGUGUGUAUACUUGCACUGGUCCUCGGGAUAUAUUUCGGAGUGAAGUCAGUUGAGGAUGUAAAAUCAAAUGCCGUGUUUUAUGCUUCAUUCAGCGCCACUUUGGACAUUGCCACAGUUCAACGUGAAGAUAUUGGUACCGAAAAAAAUUAUCUAAACGUUGAAUGGAAUUCAGCUACACAGAAAAUGAAUUUUAAACAAACUGAAGUGUUUUCAUCGAACUAUGAUUGCGAUCACGAACUCUCGUACAUCAUGGCAGAUAAUAAAGCGACUGUUAGUAUUUCUCACUUGAAUAGUUCCCUAGCAUUCUGUGUACAGGAAGGUUUCCCGUCGCAAUGGGUUAGCGUUUUCCAGCACAUUUUGACAGUUGACAAUUGGAGAAGCGGUGAAGAGUCAAGCAGAUGUCGUGGGGACAUCUGGAAUACGAAAUACAUGACCGAUACCGUUGAAAUCUGCAAUUAUAACAACCAGUUAGAGUAUGUUACAUAUCAGACCAAAGUGCCACGGUUACAAGUUGGACAAGAACUGGGGAGCAAUAUAUUCAAAUAAGAACCGAUGUUCCGGAUGGCCCGUGCAGCAAUAUUAGUAAAAUAAGUUUCAGCGAUGCGAAUAAUCCUCCAAUAGUCAAAAGAGCUUCUGGAAUAUCUCCGGCCACGUGUUUGUUUGUGCAUGGAGCUGGUACCAACGCGACUGGUAACUAUGUUAUUCAAGAUUUUCCCGAAUAUUGGGGUGACAUUAGAAAGUACACUUCAAAUUGUACUUCGCAUAAAUUUCUUGUCUAUAACAGUAAACACAACGGCUGGGACGAUGACCAUAUACACCAGCACUUUUGUGAUGUGGCUGCCACCAAUGGAACUAUAACUAACACGGUGAUAUUUUCACAUUCUAUGGGGAAUUUAGUGAUUGCAGCUGCACUGCACCGACAAAGGUGUACCUUCAAUCAGACCACAAGCCGCUGGUUUUCUGUUCAAGGCCCGUGGACUGGAAGUGUUGUAGCUAAUACUCUCUCAAAGAUUUGCAGAAAACCUACAUUUCUCCAGAGAUUGAUUCGCCGUUUAUUGCGGGCGCAAGGUUUCUGUAAACUUACUGAAAAUAGGGAAUUUGAUGUCUACACUGCACUUAAAACCGACUAUAUAUCACCGACUGGGAUACGUUAUCAUCAUCUGAUACAAAUAGGGAAGAGGUUCGUAUCUGGAGUGAUGUGCGGAACCUCAAGUUGGGGGUUAGGGAAGGACAUCAUUGAAAGCGCUUCACUCACGUUCAUGCAGUGGUACAGCAAGCUGAAGAAACCCAAUGAUGGCACGGUGGCAUUCGACAGCUGCAAACUAAACGAUGAACUGUUCGAAGCAAUACGUUCCAAUCCUUAUUUCAAAGACAAAUUCAAUCAUUUAGAUGGCACUUGCAGGCAUGGUGGGUAUCCCUGUGAGUGGUAUGAACACAUGCACUGAUAACUUGUUUAUACAAAGUAUAGUCACUAUAGUAUGGCAUUACGCUUUAAGAAACGGUUCCGAAAAAGAUAUUCGAUAAGUUAUAUGAACUGGUAUUCUAAGAAUUCUAUUUAUUUUCAAUAUGUAAACGGUGUGAACAAUUCUAUAUCGGACAAUAGGGAUGUGAAUUAUGACUAAACAUGGAUAUACAGAACACAUAAUGGAAAUUAAGUAUGUUUUUUAGAUUUAUGCAUCGUUGUUCUAAUGAUGUUUUUUAUGUUAUUCCUAUUUACAAUUCAAAGGCUUUAAAUUUGUAUCAGUUCCAACUCGAUUUAAUCAAAGAGCAAAAGUCAGUCCUUAUAGUUCAAUUAAGACACAUGUUUCAAUGAAUGAACCAUCAAGGUUAUUUAUACCCCAAAUACUUUCCAGAUGUUUCUGUGAAAACAUUUAUUAGUUAUUUAUUGUUUGUUGAAUUUCGUUUUUUAUUUUAGUUUGCUUUGACUAAUCCAUUAAGCAUUUAUAUAUAAAUUAUAUAUAUUAAAAUUUAAACUAAUCAUUUAAACGGAAAAAAGUGUUUGUUUACCCAUUUCUGAUAUUUGAUAGAUUGCAUAUUUGAGAUAACUAGUAAUAUUGGUUAACGUGUCGACUAGCGCGGUGUUAAUAGUACCGUUUAUUUUAUUUAAUACAAGAAAAGUGCAUGUUUGUUUGCCUCCCAUAAAACUAGAGUCUGGGAGGAGAUCAUUCGUCUUACCUUGUUUUACCUGACUAUCGACGCGGUCAUUACAUAACUUCAGAGUCGACAUAUGUAUGUGAAAUAUGUUUUUUCCUCAAGUUAACAAAAAAUCAUUGCUGUUUUUUAUUCAUAUUCAGUUUGUUUCUUCGGUUUAUAAUGCUAGUUAAGAUUAUUAAACAUGGCUCAUGGUCAAAAGCCACUAUAUACAACUGUACAUCUUCAUUACACUCUCUUCCAUGUUUUUCUUCAUAUAAUGACAUAUUGCUUAUCCAAGAUUUUAUGGUAUUGUAAACGUCGUUAAAAGGUGACGUCCUUUAAAAUGUGCUCUUUGAACUAUGAUAUCUUAAUAAAAAUCACUUACCUGAUGAACAAAUAAAUGGUCGAAAGCGUUA
rnacentral:lncRNA from 1 species